GUGGCUGUAGCUCAGUUGGUUAGAGCGCUGCUCUGUGGAAGCGGAGGUCGUGGGUUCGAGCCCCAUCAGCCACCCCA
rnacentral:tRNA from 2 species